UGGGACCUGAGACAGAAAGAAUGGAUUUGGAUUACUUUUUGAUGCAUCAACUAAACAACAAAUUUACAAACCAGCCAAUUCUAAUAGACAGAUUAAUCAUAGCAAACCUCAGUAAUCACAAUCCUCAAGAUUUCUUCCCAGGUUUGCAAAUUGCAACAUGUUCCCCUCAAACUUGUUAUUCGCAAUCUCCAUUAGUUUUCCAUUAUAUAAACAUAUACUUGCAUGCAUACAAUACACGCUAGUCGACAGUGUGCAGAAAACCCGUUUCCCAAGCAUAGGUUUUUUUUUUUUUUUAAUCUUUUUCUCAAGCAUAGUUAGAUGAUACUUUUAAGUAGUUCAUGGAAAAAUUGGUGUAGCAUUAGUAUUUUAUUUGACCACAAAAACGUUUGCUUUCGAAUAUAGAUUGACUAAAUUUGUAGAAUAGUCUUACUGAUAUUUAAGGUUCUCAGUUACGGAUGUGAAAAGAAUUCACCAAGAGAGAACAAUGUUCUGCUCUUUUUAGUUAGUUUUUUUUUUCUUCAGUUUUGAAAUAUUACAAGAAUUGGUCUUCAUUUGGUUUGGGUUUAAAGAAUCUGUCAACCUAAUAAACAGGACAGGCCGGCGGCCAAUUCUUUUAGGCCCCGGCUCAGUUGCACAGAAAGGAGAAACAAUUAACUUCCCUGCAAAUUUCUUUAUGUUCAGUUAUCAAGAAAGUUGUGAGACCCACAACUUCAAGUUUCUCAAUGGGCAAAAUACAUCCUGAAAAAAGGGAGGAAUUCAAGUUUUCCUGCAAAACUGUGCGUUUAAAUGUCACAUACAGAUACAUCAUGUUUAAAUGUCACAUACAGAUACAUCACGGUAACCUAGUUACAAACUUGAAAGGAAAACCUCCCCUUGGUCUCUCCUCUCUACUUCCAACACUAUCUCCUCUUUCCAAUGUCUCUACUUUUUCUUGCCCCUUUCACUAGUUGGACUGAAGAUUUCUUUUCCAGUCGAAUGGAAUUUCAGUUUUGUACUGUACUCGUACCGAAUUUAAGGCCCAACCUGAUUAUACUGAACCCGACUGAAUUGUUUCAAUACAUAACAGUUUUUUGGCUGACAGUUUUGGUGAGUUUCGGUUCCUAGAACUAGAAGACUGAUGUGGUCGGUUUGGUGAGAAAUUGUCUCCAAAACCGUCCAUUUAUCCAGGAUAUCCGGACCUAAGAGGGUAUUGUAAGGAGUAUAAGGGCACGCGCAUCUUGUAUAUCCAAAUGAGACUGGCAUGGAACAAAGGAAUGCUACGUGUUGACACCGAGGCGCUAUUUGUAUGGUCUAGUCUUCCGGCCAGAUCGUAGAGCAGGAAAUGGCUACUGGAAGGGAACAACACCUGGUAAUGUGAUCUUUGGCAAGGACGGGCUAGUUGGAGUCAAGAAAAACCUGUGUUUUUAUGAAGGUGAUCAGAGCCAGCACAGUGGGCUGCAAACAAACUGGAAAAUGAUCGAAUACAGACUGCAGCAUCAUAUUUGUUCAAUCAAAUGUGAUCAUGAGCAUGGAAGGGUAAAGCGACCAUUACUAAAGUUCUAGUAAAGCUAUAUGUGCAUGGGAAAUUUACAUUGACUACUGCUUUUAAGUCCUAGCAUAUACUUCAAUUUUAGCAGCGUGCAAACCAUGUUGCUGGCUUUGGCUGAUUGUUUAUGUACUCUGUUGGAGCUUGUCCCACAUUGGUUAAAUAUAACCUCUAAAACUAGUAUAUGUGCCUGGACGGCCUUUCCACUCAUUGCCAAUUAGUUUUGAGUCUUAAUAUGGUAUCAGAGCUAGGUUUUCGGAGGCUUUUGGACAAGACUCUAUGUCAUUGAAUGUUGAUGGUUGGUUUCCCCUUUGUUUGUCGUUAAUAGUUGAUUGUUGUCGUAUGUGUUGAAUUGUUUGCUUACCUCAC